rnacentral:rRNA from 1 species
GGAAUAUUGGGCAAUGGACGCAAGUCUGACCCAGCCAUGCCGCGUGCAGGAUGAAGGACUUCUGGGUUGUAAACUGCUUUUUUACGGGCCGAAAAAACUCUUGCGAGAGGAACUGACGGUACCGUAAGAAUAAGCACCGGCUACCUCCGUGCCAGCAGCCGCGGUAAUAAGGAGGGUGCAAGCGUUGUCCGGAUUUAUUGGGUUUAAAGGGUGCGUAGGCGGCCCGUUAAGUCAGUGGUGAAAGCCAACAGCUCAACUGUUGAACUGCCAUUGAUACUGCCGGGCUUGAGUACAGACGAGGUAGGCGGAAUUGAAGAUGUAGCGGUGAAAUGCAUAGAUAUCUUCAAGAACACCGAUUGCGUAGGCAGCUUACUAGGCUGUAACUGACGCUGAGGCACGAAAGCGUGGGGAGCGAAC